UGGGGAAUAUUGCACAAUGGGCGCAAGCCUGAUGCAGCCAUGCCGCGUGUAUGAAGAAGGCCUUCGGGUUGUAAAGUACUUUCAGCGGGGAUGAAGGGAGUAAAGUUAAUACCUUUGCUCAUUGACGUUACCCGCAGAAGAAGCACCGGCUAACUCCGUGCCAGCAGCCGCGGUAAUACGGAGGGUGCAAGCGUUAAUCGGAAUUACUGGGCGUAAAGCGCACGCAGGCGGUUUGUUAAGUCAGAUGUGAGAUCCCCGGGCUCAACCUGGGAACUGCAUCUGAUACUGGCAAGCUUGAGUCUCGUAGAGGGGGGUAGAAUUCCAGGUGUAGCGGUGAAAUGCGUAGAGAUCUGGAGGAAUACCGGUGGCGAAGGCGGCCCCCUGGACGAAGACUGACGCUCAGGUGCGAAAGCGUGGGGAGCAAACA
rnacentral:rRNA from 1 species